AGCCCCCAACUUUUACCCAUUGCGAAAGAUAGAACAAAAAUAUCCUCGCUAAUCGUAUGAGCAUGGUCCACAGGAAGGCCGGCCUAGUAGGCUAGUCCACCAGAUGUCCUGCAAGUUGCGCAAGUAACUACUCCACACAGACGGUGGCAGUGAAGGGAAGGGACUGGUGGUCCAAAGGAUUAUUAUCCAGUUAGUGUAUCCCCCGGAUACUGAACAAUAAACAUUUCACCACUUUAAGAGAGAGGGCAGAAAAAUUGGGAUGCCAAUUCACUUGAUAAGCUGUUUCAUAAGAUUUUGGGUUUUCGUUGAGCGCUAUAAUGAUUUGGAUUCACAAAGAACUCACAAGCUGAUGACGGCUAUACAGCAGCAAGAUAAUCGCUGACUGAGCUAGUGGUUGAAUGGUCAGGUAUACGGGACAGAUGGGGGCCUGUCGAUCAAAAUUGAAGACUUAACGGUGUCACUGGAAGAUAGUGUCCAUCAUUAAAUAACAAACCUAAAAUAUUUCUGCUACAUGUAAGCUUGCCAUGCAUGGCGGUGGCUUUGACUAUGGAGCCAUCAAUCCAGACAGUAUUGAUAGUGGAGAGAUUGGCCAGUCUGUGAUGAAACUGAUGGAGCCUGGUGGCUACUUUCUUUUACUUUGUCCACCACCCUGGCUAUGUAUCAUGGAGAACUCCAGGCUUUGGACCGUGGUUUUGUAGUCAGUGUAAUGUAUGUAUAUGUAUGUAUUAUUCUUAUUAUUCUAUUCUUCUUAUUAUUGUAUUAUUGUAAUUAUUCUAAUCUCUAUAUGUCUCUAUGUUAUGUGGUUAAUGUGUUUAGUUAUAGGUUCAUAGGUGUUAUCAUAAUGUACCAUUAUUAUUAUUAUGUGUGUUGUUAGCCUGCUCUUUUGUUAUAGUAGCUUUGUAGCACAUGCUUUUCAUGCACUCUAUUCAAUUAUCAUUCCUCUGUUCUCUCUCUAUUAUACUCUCAUGAUCUUAUCCCUUGUUCUCGAGUUUUAACCGAAUAAAGAAUUUAAAAUAUAUUACAA